rnacentral:tRNA from 1 species
UUGCCGGGAUAGCUCAGUNGGUAGAGCAGAGGA